UACAGAGGGGGCCAGCGUUAUUCGGAAUUAUUGGGCGUAAAGGGCGCGUAGGCGGCCAUGCGUGUCUUCCGUGAAAUCCCUCGGCUUAACUGGGAGGGUGCGGCGAAAACUGGAAUGCUAGAGGAUGGGAGAGGUAAGCGGAAUUCCUGGUGUAGCGGUGAAAUGCGUAGAUAUCAGGAGGAACACCUGUGGUGUAGACAGCUUACUGGACCAUUUCUGACGCUGAGACACGAAAGCGUGGGUAGCAAACAGG
rnacentral:rRNA from 1 species